rnacentral:rRNA from 1 species
GGCUUAGAGUUUGAUCAUGGCUCAGGACGAACGCUGGCGGCGCGCCUAACACAUGCAAGUCGAACGGAGUUGAUUUUGUUGAAGUUUUCGGAUGGAUACGAGGUUAACUUAGUGGCGAACGGGUGAGUAACGCGUGAGUAACCUGCCCCGAAGUGGGGACAACAGUUGGAAACGACUGCUAAUACCGCAUAAGCCCACGGCACCGCAUGGUGCUGAGGGAAAAGGACUUCGGUUUGCUUCGGGAUGGACUCGCGUCCAAUUAGCUAGUUGGUGAGGUAACGGCCCACCAAGGCGACGAUUGGUAGCCGGACUGAGAGGUUGAACGGCCACAUUGGGACUGAGACACGGCCCAGACUCCUACGGGAGGCAGCAGUGGGGGAUAUUGCACAAUGGGGGAAACCCUGAUGCAGCGACGCCGCGUGGAGGAAGAAGGUUUUCGGAUUGUAAACUCCUGUCGUACGGGACGAUAAUGACGGUACCGUACAAGAAAGCCACGGCUAACUACGUGCCAGCAGCCGCGGUAAAACGUAGGUGGCAAGCGUUGUCCGGAAUUACUGGGUGUAAAGGGAGCGCAGGCGGGGCGGCAAGUUGGAAGUGAAAUCUAUGGGCUCAACCCAUAAACUGCUUUCAAAACUGCUGGUCUUGAGUAGUGCAGAGGUAGGCG